rnacentral:rRNA from 1 species
AAAACGAACGAAUAAGAGGUCCCGCCUGCCCUGUGACUAUAUGUUUAACGGCCGCGGUAUUUUGACCGUGCGAAGGUAGCGCAAUCACUUGUCUUUUAAAUGGAGACCUGUAUGAAAGGCAUCACGAGGGCUUAGCUGUCUCCCCUUUAAAGUCAAUGAAAUUGAUCUCCCCGUGCAGAAGCGGGGAUAUGCUCGUAAGACGAGAAGACCCUAUGGAGCUUAAGAUAAAAGGCGAGUCAUGUCAAACACCCCUUCAAAGGAAGUUGAACGAAAUGAUACCCGCUGGAAUGUCUUCGGUUGGGGCGACCGCGGGGAAAGACAAAACCCCCACAUGGACCAGGGCCACUAUAGCCCUAAAACCUAGACCCACAGGUCAAGUCAACAGUAAAUCUGACUACCAAAGAGCCGGCAAUGCCGAUCAACGGACCGAGUUACCCUAGGGAUAACAGCGCAAUCCCCUCCCAGAGCCCUUAUCGACGAGGGGGUUUACGACCUCGAUGUUGGAUCAGGACAUCCUAAUGGUGCAGCCGCUAUUAAGGGUUCGUUUGUUCAACGAUUAAAGUCCUACGCGAUCUGAGUUCAGACCGG